rnacentral:lncRNA from 1 species
GCUGCACCAGGGAUUUGUUCAUUCAGAUUUCUAAUUCUAUCUCUUCUUUCUUAUGCUCUCUCCCUAUUAUCUAAUUAAUUUCUUCAUUUCCUUAUUAGGAUAAGUUCAAACAUAGCAAGGACAAGUCUGAUUUUAGGACAAGGGCCUAGGAAGAGAUUUAAGAAAGACAAGGAGACAAGAAAUAUAGAGAUAGGAAGGCUAGGG